rnacentral:lncRNA from 1 species
AACAAUUAGAGGCUACAUGAAGACACCCAAGUGGCACCAAUUGUGCACAUUAUCCUUAAAAAUUAGGGUGGGGGACCUACUAAAUUUAAAGGGAACCUGAAGAGAGACCAAUCACAACGCUGCACUGCAUUCACAAAUCCAUCCCUGGUUGGCAAGCAAAUCCAACUAUUUCAGGUAAUAUCAGGUAAAAGAUCAAGGUAAGGUCUUGAAAGAGAUAUAAUACAUAUACAUGCCAGGUUGCUGCACCCCAGAGCCAUCAGCAUUUGAGGUAUUUACAAAUUAUGUGCGGAUGAACCAGCCAAAACACCUCAAAUCGAUACCAUCACCAAUGACAGCUACCACAAGGUUGAUGUAAAAAACUUUGGUACACAGCUGGUACCAAAG